CUGCAUUUUAAUAGAAUGCAGCCUGACUUAACCCGGAGAGGAAGCAGUGGCUAACUCUGUGCCAGCAGCCGCGGUAAUACAGAGACUGCAAGCGUUAUUCGGAUUCACUGGGCGUAAAGGGUGCGCAGGCGGCCAAGUGUGUGAGGCGUGAAAGCCCGGGGCUUAACCCCGGAAUUGCACCUCAAACUACAUGGCUAGAGCAUUGGAGAGGGUAGCAGAAUUCAUGGUGUAGCAGUGAAAUGCGUAGAUAUCAUGAGGAAUACCAGAGGCGAAGGCGGCUACCUGGACAAUUGCUGACGCUCAGGCACGAAAGCGUGGGGAGCAAAAGGGAUUAGAUACCCCUGUAGUCCACGCCCUAAACGGUGCACACUAGGUCUUGGCGGAUUCGACCCCGCCAGGGCCCAAGCUAACGCGUUAAGUGUGCCGCCUGAGGACUACGGCCGCAAGGCUA
rnacentral:rRNA from 1 species